UUGACAUCUAUUCAUGUUAAAAUUUUCCUUUUCUUCUUAGGUCAAAUUUUCUGUUUGAUGGAUUUAAACUGCUACUUCUCUUGUCAGAAUUCAAGAGAGAACUUGAAUGCUGCUGAAUCAGAUAAUGGCCUUGAAGUAUUUGGGAUGUAAAACAGAGGCCCAAGGCUUGUGACAGGCAUCUCCCAAGUUUGUACAAAGUCAGGAUGAAUUCCUGCUGAGUGAAACAAAACAAGGAGAGGGACAUAGGUUCAGUUCUUCCUAGUGCCACACUUCCUCACUGGAGGCACAGGGUUUGUGAGCUGGAAGAGCAAAGGGCUGGAUGCCAAGUGACUGGACUCCAGCUGGGGACUUGAGGAAACUCCACUGCCUGUGCAGCCACCUCAUGGUCUUCAAAAAUAAGAAACUAGAGUUGACUUUGAGAAGAAAGCAAAGAAUUAAAGUUGUACUUCUGAGACACUUGGACUGAACCCAGCCAGGCAGGAGAAGCACGUACCAGAAUUAUCAGCCAUAAGUACAACGGGAACAAGAAGUUUGGAUGAUGAACAAGGAAUGGAUGUAGGAGCACAGCUGGCAUCUUCUUUGAGGUCACACUGCUCCCACAGAGACGUGCUGUGAAGGACAUACAAGUGUGUAGUAUCUACAGAGCUGCCCCUGUGAUGAGCUGUCCAUCUGUUCAAUGUACCAACAGAUAAUCUGGACUGAUUAAACCACAAAGAUCUCAUGUUGUGAAAUGUCUAACUUUUCCUUUGUUGUUCCAAGCGUAGUUUGACCUUCUUGUGCCUACCAGGGAUGUUUGAAUUGUAACAGACCUGCUACUGGACCUGUGGUGCAGAGCAACUUCAUGAAUUGAGUCAAAAGCUCUUGCACAUAGGGUGUUAUGAUAAAUUAGUAAUGCCUAUUCUGGAUCACUGGCUUUCUCUAAAUGCCAUUAUGUUCAUUGCAGCCUCAGUGGAUUCAGCUUUCACUGAACAGCAAAUGAUGACGUGGUAAGACUAGUCGUUUGCUACUUUGAUGAAGAGAGAUACUUGUGGAAUGAUUCCAGUAUGGCUUUUCCCCAGAAUCUCUUGGAAAUCACAUCUUGCAGAGGUGAAAUUCACAUAAUAACUGCAUUGAAACAAAAGCUCUUUAACUACAAGUAAUAUUUAUUUCUUAACAACUUAUAUGUUUCUUUGUCAACUGUAGUUGCAAGUUCAUAUAAUAUUCAGUGAGUGCUUCUCUGCCUCCUGAACUGUUUUAGGUCAGCCAUUUAGCAAACCCUUCACAUGAAUGUCAUGUUACUCUUGCUACAUUAAACAGCUGACAAAUUGUUACAAAGUUUUUUAAAUAUUUAUACUUCUCAUAUUGAGACUAGGUAUAUUACAGUGAUGUGUGGUCAUUCCAAGAUGUCAGAUCACAACAAAACCAUCUCUUCUUCAGGAUCAUCUGUAAUGCCUAUUUGUAGCAGAAAGUAGCAGAAGGAUGACCAUGAUAAUGAGUAGUCUUACAGUCUGAGGAAACAAAGUUAGUCAAAACCCUGAAGGAGAAGAGCUGACU